ACUACUGCCAUGAUGGCAUUAAGUCUACCAGUACGAAACCCUCGCUAUGAA
rnacentral:lncRNA from 1 species